rnacentral:rRNA from 1 species
CGAACGGGUGAGUAACACGUGGGUGAUCUGCCUUGCACUUCGGGAUAAGCUUGGGAAACUGGGUCUAAUACCGGAUAGGACAGCUGAUUAGUGUCAGUUGUGGAAAGUUUUUCGGUGCAAGAUGAGCUCGCGGCCUAUCAGCUUGUUGGUGGGGUAAUGGCCUACCAAGGCGUCGACGGGUAGCCGGCCUGAGAGGGUGGACGGCCACAUUGGGACUGAGAUACGGCCCAG